rnacentral:rRNA from 1 species
AGGGAUCAUUACUGAGUUUACGCUCUAUAACCCUUUGUGAACAUACCUAUAACUGUUGCUUCGGCGGGUAGGGUCUCCGCGACCCUCCCGGCCUCCCGCCUCCGGGCGGGUCGGCGCCCGCCGGAGGAUAACCAAACUCUGAUUUAACGACGUUUCUUCUGAGUGGUACAAGCAAAUAAUCAAAACUUUUAACAACGGAUCUCUUGGUUCUGGCAUCGAUGAAGAACGCAGCGAAAUGCGAUAAGUAAUGUGAAUUGCAGAAUUCACUGAAUCAUCGAAUCUUUGAACGCACAUUGCGCCCGCCAGCAUUCUGGCGGGCAUGCCGGUUCGAGCGUCAUUUCAACCCUCAAGCUCUGCUUGGUGUUGGGGCCCUACAGCUGAUGUAGGCCCUCAAAGGUAGUGGCGGACCCUCCCGGAGCCUCCUUUGCGUAGUAACUUUACGUCUCGCACUGGGAUCCGGAGGGACUCUUGCCGUAAAACCCCCCAAUUUUCCAAAGGUUGACCUCGGAUCAGGUAGGAAUACCCGCUGAA